UGCAGAAAUGUGUAUAUUUAAUGCUGUGC
rnacentral:piRNA from 1 species